AUGAAACACUCCUACGGGAGGCAGCAGUGGGGGAUAUUGCACAAUGGAGGAAACUCUGAUGCAGCGACGCCGCGUGAGUGAAGAAGUAUUUCGGUAUGUAAAGCUCUAUCAGCAGGGAAGAUGAUGACGGUACCUGACUAAGAAGCCCCGGCUAACUACGUGCCAGCAGCCGCGGUAAUACGUAUGUCACAAGCGUUAUCCGGAUUUAUUGGGCGUAAAGCGCGUCUAGGUGGUUAUGUAAGUCUGAUGUGAAAAUGCAGGGCUCAACUCUGUAUUGCGUUGGAAACUGUGUAACUAGAGUACUGGAGAGGUAAGCGGAACUACAAGUGUAGAGGUGAAAUUCGUAGAUAUUUGUAGGAAUGCCGAUGGGGAAGCCAGCUUACUGGACAGAUACUGACGCUAAAGCGCGAAAGCGUGGGUAGCAAACAGGAUUAGAUACCCGUGUAGUCCGAAGUUC
rnacentral:rRNA from 1 species